rnacentral:rRNA from 1 species
CCCGUUGUACACACGCCCGUCAAGCCAUGGAGUUGAGAGGACCUGAAGCCAGUUGCUGCAAGGCGCUGUUUAGGGUUAAAUCAAUGACUGGGGCU